rnacentral:rRNA from 1 species
UAUGUAGGGUGCAAGCGUUGUCCGGAAUUAUUGGGCGUAAAGAGCUCGUAGGCGGUCUGUCGCGUCGGCUGUGAAAACCCGGGGCUCAACCCCGGGCCUGCAGUCGAUACGGGCAGACUAGAGUGCGGUAGGGGAGACUGGAAUUCCUGGUGUAGCGGUGAAAUGCGCAGAUAUCUGAAGGAACAUCAGUGGCGAAAGCGACCUCCUGGACCAAUACUGACGCUCAGGUGCGAAAGCGUGGGGAGCAAACAGG